rnacentral:rRNA from 1 species
UGGGGAAUCUUCCGCAAUGGACGAAAGUCUGACGGAGCAACGCCGCGUGUAUGAUGAAGGUCUUCGGAUUGUAAAGUACUGUCAUUGGGGAAGAACGGUUUUCUUGAGAAUAUUGAGAAGACAUGACGGUACCCAAGGAGGAAGCCCCGGCUAACUACGUGCCAGCAGCCGCGGUAAUACGUAGGGGGCAAGCGUUGUCCGGAAAUUAUUGGGCGUAAAGGGCGCGUAGGCGGGCCUUUAAGUCCGGUGUGAAAGAUCAGGGCUCAACCCUGAGAGUGCAUCGGAAACUGGAGGCCUUGAGGACAGGAGAGGAAAGUGGAAUUCCACGUGUAGCGGUGAAAAUGCGUAGAUAUGUGGAGGAACACCAGUGGCGAAAGGCGACUUUCUGGACUGUAACUGACGCUGAGGCGCGAAAAGCGUGGGGAGCAAAACAGGAUUAGAUACCCUGGUAGU